AACGAACGCUGGCGGCAUGCCUAACACAUGCAAGUCGAACGAUGCUUUCGGGCAUAGUGGCGCACGGGUGCGUAACGCGUGGGAAUCUGCCCCCUUGGUUCGGAAUAACAGUUAGAAAUGACUGCUAAUACCGGAUGACGACGUAAGUCCAAAGAUUUAUCGCCGAGGGAUGAGCCCGCGUAGGAUUAGCUAGUUGGUGUGGUAAAGGCGCACCAAGGCGACGAUCCUUAGCUGGUCUGAGAGGAUGAUCAGCCACACUGGGACUGAGACACGGCCCAGACUCCUACGGGAGGCAGCAGUGGGGAAUAUUGGACAAUGGGCGCAAGCCUGAUCCAGCAAUGCCGCGUGAGUGAUGAAGGCCUUAGGGUUGUAAAGCUCUUUUACCCGUGAUGAUAAUGACAGUAGCGGGAGAAUAAGCCCGGCUAACGUCCGUGCCAGCAGCCG
rnacentral:rRNA from 1 species